rnacentral:tRNA from 1 species
GCCCCGGUAGCUCAGCCUGGUAGAGCGCUCGCUUGGUAAGCGAGAGGUCCCGGGUUCGAAUCCCGGCCGGGGCUCCA